UACAGAGGUGGCAAGCGUUGUUCGGAAUUACUGGGCGUAAAGGGCGCGUAGGCGGCCUUCUAAGUCGGACGUGAAAGCCCCAGGCUUAACCUGGGAACUGCGUCCGAUACUGGGAGGCUUGGAUUCGGGAGAGGGAUGUGGAAUUCCAGGUGUAGCGGUGAAAUGCGUAGAUAUCUGGAGGAACACCGGUGGCGAAGGCGGCAUCCUGGACCGACAUCGACGCUGAGGCGCGAAAGCUAGGGGAGCAAACGGGAUUAGAAACCCCCGUAGUCC
rnacentral:rRNA from 1 species